rnacentral:rRNA from 1 species
GGGAACUGAAACAUCUAAGUACCCGGAGGAAAAGAAAACAAUAGUGAUCCCGUAAGUAGUGGCGAGCGAACGCGGGCCAGCCCAAACCGUCCAUGUCAAGGCAUGUACGGGGUAGUAGGGCCGACAUAACCAAAGGAACGAGAACCGGAACAGGAUGGAAAGCCUGACCAUAGGAUGUGAAAGUCAUGUACGGGCAAACGGACCAGCGGGGUCGGUACCCUGAGUAGGUGGGGGCAGGUGAAACCCCCUCUGAACCAGCCGGCACCAUCCGGCAAGGCUAAAUACCAUUGGAAGACCGAUAGUGGACCAGUACCGUGAGGGAAAGGUGAAAAGAACCCCGAACAGGGGAGUGAAACAGACCCUGAAACCAUACGCCUACAAGCGGUCGGAGCAGUGCUUGCACUGUGACGGCGUGCCUUUUGCAUAAUGAGCCUACGAGUUGCCCUUACUAGCGAGGUUAAGGACUUCAGGUCCGGAGCCGCAGCGAAAGCGAGUCUUAACAGGGCGCUUUAGUUAGUAGGGGCAGACGCGAAACCGUGCGAUCUACCCAUGGGCAGGCUGAAGCUGUGGUAACACAUAGUGGAGGGCCGAACCCGUUGACGUUGAAAAGUCUUGGGAUGACCUGUGGGUAGGGGUGAAAGGCCAAUCAAGCUCGGAAAUAGCUCGUACUCCCCGAAAUGCAUUUAGGUGCAGCGUUGCAUGGUUCUUACUGGAGGUAGAGCUACUGGAUGGCCAAUGGGCCCUACAAGGUUACUGACGUCAGCCAAACUCCGAAUGCCGGUAAGUCAACAGUGUGGCAGUGAGACGGCGGGGGAUAAGCUCCGUGCGUCGAGAGGGAAACAGCCCAGAUCGCCGACUAAGGCCCCUAAGCGUGUGCUAAGUGGAAAAGGAUGUGCAGUCGCGAAGACAACCAGGAGGUUGGCUUAGAAGCAGCCACCCUUGAAAGAGUGCGUAAUAGCUCACUGG